rnacentral:tRNA from 1 species
GCGGAGAUUGCCUAGCUUGGUAAGGCGUGGGAUUGCUAAUCCCAUAUUCAUUCGAAUACGUGGGUUCAAAUCCCUCUCUCCGCGCCA